UACGUAGGGCGCAAGCGUUUAUCCGGAAUUAUUGGGCGUAAAGAGCUCGUAGGCGGUUUGUCGCGUCUGCCGUGAAAGUCCGGGGCUCAACUCCGGAUCUGCGGUGGGUACGGGCAGACUAGAGUGAUGUAGGGGGAGACUGGAAUUCCUGGUGUAGCGGUGAAAUGCGCAGAUAUCAGGAGGAACACCGAUGGCGAAGGCAGGUCUCUGGGCAUUAACUGACGCUGAGGAGCGAAAGCGUGGGGAGCGAACGG
rnacentral:rRNA from 1 species